rnacentral:rRNA from 1 species
AACGAACGCUGGCGGCAUGCCUAACACAUGCAAGUCGAACGAGACCUUCGGGUCUAGUGGCGCACGGGUGCGUAACACGUGGGAAUUUGCCUCGGGGUAUGGAAUAACCCAGGGAAACUUGAGCUAAUACCAUAUAAUGUCUUCGGACCAAAGAUUUAUCGCCCUGAGAUAAGCCCGCGUAGGAUUAGCUAGUUGGUGGGGUAAAGGCUCACCAAGGCGACGAUCCUUAGCUGGUCUGAGAGGAUGAUCAGCCACACUGGGACUG